rnacentral:rRNA from 1 species
UACAGAGGGGGCAAGCGUUGUUCGGAAUUACUGGGCGUAAAGGGCGCGUAGGCGGCCGAUCAAGUCGGAGGUGAAAUCCCUCGGCUCAACUGAGGAAUUGCCUUCGAUACUGUUCGGCUUGAGUCCUGGAGAGGGUAGCGGAAUUCCCGGUGUAGCGGUGAAAUGCGUAGAGACCGGGAAGAACACCAGUGGCGAAGGCGGCUACCUGGACAGGUACUGACGCUGAAGCGCGAAAGCUAGGGGAGCAAACAGG